rnacentral:rRNA from 1 species
UGUGUAGCGGUGAAAUGCGUAGAUAUCGGGGAGAACACCGGAGGCGAAGGCGUCCUCCUGGGGCGUACCUGACGCUGAGGCCAGAAGGCUGGGGGAGCAAAGGGGAUUAGAUACCCCCGUAGUCCCAGCAGUAAACGAUGUGGGCUAGCGGUCUGGUCUUGAGGCUGGGUCGCGAAGGGAAACCGAUAAGCCCACCGCCUGGGGAGUACGCCCGCAAGGGUGAAACUCAAAGGAAUAGACGGGAGCCCGCACAAGCGGCGGAGCGCGUGGUUUAAUUCGAUGCUGACCGAAGAACCUCACCCGGGCUUGACAUCCCGCCGUCAAGCCUGCCCGAAAGGGUAGGUGAGCCUACCGGUGAGGUAGGCAGGCGGGACAGGAGCUGCACGGCUGUCGUCAGCUCGUGUCGUGAGAUGUUGGGUUAAGUCCCGCAACGAGCGCAACCCCUGCCCAUAGUUGCCAGCGGGUCGCCCACGUAGGUGGGCGAUGCUGGGGACUCUAUGGGACUGCCGGCGAGGAGCCGGAGGAAGGAGGGGACGACGUCAAGUCCGUGUGGCCCUUAUGUCCGGGGCUACACACGCGCUACAAUGGGCGGUACAGAGGGAGGCGACCCCGCGAGGGGGAGCAAAUCCCUAAAACCGCCCCCAGUUCGGAUUGCAGGCUGAAACCCGCCUGCAUGAAGGAGGAGUCGCUAGUAAUCACCUAUCAGCUAUGGGGUGGUGAAUACGUUCCCGGGCUCUGUACUCACCGCCCGUCACGCCAUGGGAGCCGGGGGUGCCUGAAGCCCCACCGA